rnacentral:rRNA from 1 species
GAGGAAUAUUGCACAAUGGAGGAAACUCUGAUGCAGCAACGCCGCGUGGAGGAUGACGCAUUUCGGUGUGUAAACUCCUUUUAAGAGGGAAGAUAAUGACGGUACCUCUUGAAUAAGCACCGGCUAACUCCGUGCCAGCAGCCGCGGUAAUACGGAGGGUGCAAGCGUUACUCGGAAUCACUGGGCGUAAAGGGUGCGUAGGCUGACUUUUAAGUCAGGUGUGAAAUCCAAUGGCUUAACCAUUGAACUGCACUUGAAACUGGGAGUCUAGAGUUCAGAAGGGGCAGAUGGAAUUAGUGGUGUAGGGGUAAAAUCCGUAGAUAUCACUAGGAAUAUCAAAAGCGAAGGCGAUCUGCUGGGAUGAUACUGAAGCUGAGGCACGAAAGCGUGGGGAGCAAACA